GAGUUUGAUCGUGGCUCAGAUUGAACGCUGGCGGCAGGCCUAACACAUGCAAGUCGAGCGGUAGAGAGAAGCUUGCUUCUCUUGAGAGCGGCGGACGGGUGAGUAAUGCCUAGGAAUCUGCCUGGUAGUGGGGGAUAACGCUCGGAAACGGACGCUAAUACCGCAUACGUCCUACGGGAGAAAGCAGGGGACCUUCGGGCCUUGCGCUAUCAGAUGAGCCUAGGUCGGAUUAGCUAGUUGGUGAGGUAAUGGCUCACCAAGGCGACGAUCCGUAACUGGUCUGAGAGGAUGAUCAGUCACACUGGAACUGAGACACGGUCCAGACUCCUACGGGAGGCAGCAGUGGGGAAUAUUGGACAAUGGGCGAAAGGCCUGAUCCAGCCAUGCCGCGUGUGUGAAGAAGGUCUUCGGAUUGUAAAGCACUUUAAGUUGGGAGGAAGGGCAGGUAAAUUAAUACUUUGCUGUUUUGACGUUACCGACAGAAUAAGCACCGGCUAACUCUGUGCCAGCCGCCG
rnacentral:rRNA from 1 species